UGAGCAGUCUUUACUUGAUCACAGUAGAUUUUGUAACAAGAAAACAGGUUGAUGAUAUUUAACUUUCAUCAUCAAGUUCUGAGGUUUGUGUUUUUCUCCAAUUAAUUAUUCUUUUAGAUUGAACAUGUCUAUACUCGUCACAUGCUCAGAGACAUAUCUUGCCAUGAAAAGAAUCUGGACUUGAGGCUGGAUCUGUGCACCAAAAGAACUGUAACUACUUUUACUGAUGAUGACUUGGAAAGCCUCAAAUUUUUGAUAAAUUCUGCUAGAUGUUAGGCACCGAAUAAAAGAGAGUUUGAACAAGUUCCCUCGAAGGACUAGUACACCAUCUGGGGUUCACAGUCAAGCACAACAAGCUGAAGAACAGCUACAACAUCAACAACAAUAGCAUCAUCC